GACGAACGCUGGCGGCGUGCUUAACACAUGCAAGUCGAACGCUGAAGCUUGGUGCUUGCACUGGGUGGAUGAGUGGCGAACGGGUGAGUAAUACGUGAGUAACCUGCCCUUGACUCUGGGAUAAGCCUGGGAAACUGGGUCUAAUACUGGAUACGACAUGUCACCGCAUGGUGGUGUGUGGAAAGGGUUUUACUGGUUUUGGAUGGGCUCACGGCCUAUCAGCUUGUUGGUGGGGUAAUGGCUCACCAAGGCGACGACGGGUAGCCGGCCUGAGAGGGUGAACGGCCACACUGGGACUGAGACACGGCCCAGACUCCUACGGGAGGCAGCAGUGGGGAGUAUUGCACAAUGGGCGGAAGCCUGAUGCAGCGACGCCGCGUGAGGGAUGACGGCCUUCGGGUUGUAAACCUCUUUCAGCACGGAAGAAGCGAAAGUGACGGUACGUGCAGAAGAAGCGCCGGCUAACUACGUG
rnacentral:rRNA from 1 species